AUUUUGAAGAUAUGACUUGUGAAAUGGCGUACGGACAAGUUCCGGCGCGGUUUGAGGAUGACCCUGCAUCCAAACAACCUUGUCUCCCUGUUUUUUGCCCUGUAGCGAAUCCUAAUUCCAGUUUAUGUCCUAAAUUGCAACCAUGAGCUGAUGAAAUUAAUGGAAAACUGAACCUGUACACUGUAAUUGAAUUCUUUUGGUGGUUGCAUAUAUAUAUAUAUAGAUACAUAUAAAUGUACAAAUUUGAGGCGGUCGGCCGGUAAUUACUCGAUAUUCUUUCAAGAAUAUAUAUCGUUCUUGAAACACUGGAUAAUUUCAUUUUGAGCCUUUUUUUUUUUUUUUUAUGUUCAAUUCUACAUAAUUGUUCAUUUACUUGUAAAAGCUGAAUAAGGAUUUGAAGCUGCCUUUUUGAAAAUAUAAUUCUUGGCUAUAAAGAUUUAGUUUGUAAUUAAAA